rnacentral:rRNA from 1 species
AACGAACGCUGGCGGCAUGCCUAACACAUGCAAGUCGAACGAGACCUUCGGGUCUAGUGGCGCACGGGUGCGUAACGCGUGGGAACCUGCCCUUAGGUUCGGAAUAACUCCCCGAAAGGGGUGCUAAUACCGGAUAAUGUCUUCGGACCAAAGAUUUAUCGCCUUUGGAUGGGCCCGCGUUGGAUUAGCUAGUUGGUAGGGUAAAAGCCUACCAAGGCGACGAUCCAUAGCUGGUCUGAGAGGAUGAUCAGCCACACUGGGACUGAGACACGGCCCAGACUCCUACGGGAAGCAGCAGUGGGGAAUAUUGGACAAUGGGCGAAAGCAUGAUCCAGCAAUGCCGCGUGAGUGAUGAAGGCCUGAGGGUUGUAAAGCUCUUUUACCCGGGAUGAUAAUGACAGUACCGGGAGAAUAAGCUCCGGCUAACUCCGUG